rnacentral:rRNA from 1 species
AGUAGUUUAAAAUCUGUGAGGAAUAAUAGAUUAAAGCUUUAUUAAUAUUAGUAGAGGCGAUCUAAGUUUAUUGUGGUGUUUUCUGGUGAAAAGUACCGUAAGGGAAAUUUUGUUAGUUUUAUAUAAGAAAAGAUUAAUGUUUGUACCUUUUGUAUCAUGGUUUGGCUAGAUUUAACUUAUGUAUUUAAUUUCUCGAAAUCUAAUGAGCUAUUUUUGACCUUCAUAUUAGGGGAAAAAAGGUAAUUGUUGCAAAAAUUUCUUUAGAGUCAAAAAUAGUGAUGAAAUUUUAUUCGCGUUGGAUGAUAGCUAGUUCUUUCUUAGGGGCAUAGAAGUGCCAUAAAUUGGUUUAAUUUUAACAGAGUUUUUUUGUUAAUUUAGUUCUAGUUUAGUUAGACUUCUGAGGAUAAGCUCGGGAGAGUAGUAAUACUUGUAUAUGUUGUUUUAUUUUGAAUUUAGGCUUGAAAAUGGCUAUAAUAGGUGGAUUUUGUUAUAAUAGCAUUAAUUUGGGCGUAGGAAAAUAUAAUUGAUUUUAUUUAGUGUUUUAGGAAAGAAAAUUUAAUAUUUAUUAGUGGGAUUGUUUUUAUGCUAAAAUGAGUAUUUAUUGUGAUGAAAUGUUUCUGUAAACUGUAGUGCCUAACAGUAGGUUAGAUUGUUAGGAUUUGAUUUUAGAUUUAAGAAAUAAAAUUAUGAAAAGGAACUCGGCAAAUACACACCCUGCCUGUUUAUUAAAAACAUGGCUCCUUGUAGUGAUAAAAUAGGGAGUCGGACCUGCCCGGUGAAAUAUUUUUAACGGCCGCGGUACUCUGACCGUGCAAAGGUAGCAUAAUCAUUUGCCUUAUAAUUGAAGGCUAGUAUGAAUGGUUUGACAAGAGUGUAGCUGUCUCUUCAUAAUUUGGUAGAACUUUAUCUUGAGGUGAAAAAGCCUUAAUGUAAUUGAUAGACAAGAAGACCCUAUCGAGCUUAAAAGAAUUUAGUGGACUUAAGUAGCUUAUUGUUUAAGAGGUAUAGCUGCUAAGAUUUUUGGUUGGGGCGACUGAGAACAUCUAAAGCUUCCUUUAUAUAGAUAUACGUACGAGUGUUGAUCCAAAAUUAAUGAUUAAAGGAAUUAGUUACCGUAGGGAUAACAGCAUUAUCCUCUUUGAGAGUUCUUAUCGAAAAGGGGGUUUGUGACCUCGAUGUUGGACCAGAAUGUCCUGAAGAUGCAGAAGUCUUUUAAGGGUUGGUCUGUUCGACCAUUAAAAUUCUACGUGAUCUGAGUUUAGACCGGCGUGAGCCAGGUCAGUUUCUAUCUUUAAUUUAUAAAAUAAACUUAGUACGAAAGGACCAGUUUAUUGUAAGAUUGUUUUAUGUUUAAAUGAAGAAAUUUAAUGUAGUUUUGUGAGUAAGUU